rnacentral:rRNA from 1 species
GACGAACGCUGGCGGCGUGCUUAACACAUGCAAGUCGAGCGGAAAGGCCCUUCGGGGUACUCGAGCGGCGAACGGGUGAGUAACACGUGAGUAACCUGCCCUAGGCUUUGGGAUAACCCCGGGAAACCGGGGCUAAUACCGGAUAUGACCUGGUGCCGCAUGGUGUUGGGUGGAAAGUUUUUUCGGCCUGGGAUGGGCUCGCGGCCUAUCAGCUUGUUGGUGGGGUGAUGGCCUACCAAGGCGAUGACGGGUAGCCGGCCUGAGAGGGCGACCGGCCACACUGGGACUGAGACACGGCCCAGACUCCUACGGGAGGCAGCAGUGGGGAAUAUUGCACAAUGGGCGGAAGCCUGAUGCAGCGACGCCGUGCGAGGGAUGAAGGCCUUCGGGUUGUAAACCUCUUUCAGCAGGGACGAAGCGUGAGUGACGGUACCUGCAGAAGAAGCGCCGGCCAACUACGUG